rnacentral:misc_RNA from 1 species
UUCUCGGCAUCCACCGCUGCUGCCCCCCUUUUUUUGGCACUUCAAUUGUUUUCUUCUCUCCACACGAGUCUUCCGGGCAAGUUGGCGUCUUCGAACGCUGACUUGCUGCUCCGUUUGUAACAACACACGUACGUAUGCACAUCUUGAAGCCACGAAUCACGCAUUUGCCCCCACACUGUGACGCUCCACCUAUUUUGAUUGUUGUUGCUGUCGCCUUUCCGGAACAGCAGCAGUUGUAGGCCUCGCUGACCUGUAUUCCUUCCCCUGCCGUUGGUGCCUUGUUUGUCUCUUAUCGCCUGUUCUCGUCGAGGAGCCGCAUUGUAUUGUGACGCAACCAACGGAGUCAUGAACCGCAGUUUUGUUAGCAGCGCUGAUCUGCGUGGGCUCACUGCCGCUUUUCGUGGUAGUUUGACGUGCCAGAAGCGCUUUUGGGCGAAGCCGAAGAAGCGUCCGAAAGUGGGCCCCGGAUUUCAUGAGAAGGCGCAGAAGUGGCGCGAUGAGUACCUCCUCGACCGCCACCGCGUUUUGGCAGACAGUCUCCGAGCGUAUGUCGAUUUCAGUUCCACAAAACGAGUAGAGCCGUGGGACACUCGCUUUGCUCCGUUUGAUCGUGUCGAGAAAGAUGGCGUGUACAUCCUCACUCGCUACCUUAUGGAUGACAAACUACAGCUGUGUAACUACCACCAUCGUCCUGUGAAGCGCAUGCUGUGUAAUGUGGGGCUAAUGGGCCCUCAGGUAACUACGACGGCGCGGUGGAAGCCGUACCGCUUUGCGACCAAUCCUGCCAACACCACGCGUGCCGAACGCACCUUCACCAAGGACAAGACAGUCUUCACAGGUUACCAUCACGAUUGAUGGACUCUAAAGGAUCAGGUUUGCCUACCACUUUCCUCUCUGCCCCCUUCCUGUCUGUGAAGGGAGGGCAAGGGCGCGCAUGGUGCCAUCCUCUCUCUCCUUUCUUGUGUUUACCCGCUUUUCCUUUUUGUGGAUUGGAUGGUAGAGGAUCCGCUUCGUCUGUGUGCAGUGGCCUUGCGUUUGUGACGAGAAAGGAGGAGCGGAGAGAGAGAAAGAAAACCAUUACGAUACGAGGGCGAGGCAGGGAGGUGAAGUUGCGUUGUUCACUUUUUCAUGAGCUCUGGGUUUCGCAUUUGAAAGCAACGCGAUACUGGAAAAAAAAACUAUUGAACUGUAGGCAGGAAGGAAGCUGCUAUACUCGGGCGAUCGACCGGUAUGACGCACUAUGAACUGCUUUGGUCUCUCUUGAGGAGGUCUCCUGCCAUAAUGUGUGCACGCUUUAGAGACGCCGCAUCGCUGUUUUUUUUUUUUUGGGGGGGCAAUGCACGUGCGAAGGUCGGUCUCCGUGCUGCAUUGGUGCUGGACACUUUUGUGCGACUCAGCAUGUUGCGGGCGCUGACAUGCGCACUCGUAAACAGAAAAAAAAUGCACACUGCGCCUCCUCUUAUAGACCUCAUCUAUGCAGCAUAUACGCCACUCCUCCGAUGAAUCCCUCGCACUUUUCGGCAAACUUCAAUGCACUGCGGUACUGCUCUCGUUCUGUUCCUUGCAAUCCGAAG